rnacentral:rRNA from 1 species
GGGUUGUGAGGUUAAGCGACUAAGCGUACACGGUGGAUGCCCUGGCAGUCAGAGGCGAUGAAGGACGUGCUAAUCUGCGAAAAGCGCCGGCGAGGUGAUAUGAACCUUUGACCCGGCGAUGUCCGAAUGGGGAAACCCAGUGUGAUUCGUCACACUAUCGUUAACUGAAUACAUAGGUUAACGAGGCGAACCGGGGGAACUGAAACAUCUAAGUACCCCGAGGAAAAGAAAUCAACCGAGAUUCCCCCAGUAGCGGCGAGCGAACGGGGAGCAGCCCAGAGUCUGAAUCAGCUUGUGUGUUAGUGGAAGCGUCUGGAAAGUCGCACGGUACAGGGUGACAGUCCCGUACACGAAAGCACACAGGUUGUGAACUCGAAGAGUAGGGCGGGACACGUGGUAUCCUGUCUGAAUAUGGGGGGACCAUCCUCCAAGGCUAAAUACUCCUGACUGACCGAUAGUGAACCAGUACCGUGAGGGAAAGGCGAAAAGAACCCCGGCGAGGGGAGUGAAAAAGAACCUGAAACCGUGUACGUACAAGCAGUGGGAGCACCUUCGUGGUGUGACUGCGUACCUUUUGUAUAAUGGGUCAGCGACUUAUAUUCUGUAGCAAGGUUAACCGUAUAGGGGAGCCGAAGGGAAACCGAGUCUUAACUGGGCGUUAAGUUGCAGGGUAUAGACCCGAAACCCGGUGAUCUAGCCAUGGGCAGGUUGAAGGUUGGGUAACACUAACUGGAGGACCGAACCGACUAAUGUUGAAAAAUUAGCGGAUGACUUGUGGCUGGGGGUGAAAGGCCAAUCAAACCGGGAGAUAGCUGGUUCUCCCCGAAAGCUAUUUAGGUAGCGCCUCGUGAACUCAUCUUCGGGGGUAGAGCACUGUUUCGGCUAGGGGGCCAUCCCGGCUUACCAACCCGAUGCAAACUACGAAUACCGAAGAAUGUUAUCACGGGAGACACACGGCGGGUGCUAACGUCCGUCGUGAAGAGGGAAACAACCCAGACCGCCAGCUAAGGUCCCAAAGUCAUGGUUAAGUGGGAAACGAUGUGGGAAGGCACAGACAGCCAGGAUGUUGGCUUAGAAGCAGCCAUCAUUUAAAGAAAGCGUAAUAGCUCACUGGUCGAGUCGGCCUGCGCGGAAGAUGUAACGGGGCUAAACCAUGCACCGAAGCUGCGGCAGCGACGCUUAUGCGUUGUUGGGUAGGGGAGCGUUCUGUAAGCCGUUGAAGGUGUGCUGUGAGGCAUGCUGGAGGUAUCAGAAGUGCGAAUGCUGACAUAAGUAACGAUAAAGCGGGUGAAAAGCCCGCUCGCCGGAAGACCAAGGGUUCCUGUCCAACGUUAAUCGGGGCAGGGUGAGUCGACCCCUAAGGCGAGGCCGAAAGGCGUAGUCGAUGGGAAACAGGUUAAUAUUCCUGUACUUGGUGUUACUGCGAAGGGGGGACGGAGAAGGCUAUGUUAGCCGGGCGACGGUUGUCCCGGUUUAAGCAUGUAGGCGGAACGAUUAGGUAAAUCCGGUCGUUUUUUAACGCUGAGGUGUGAUGACGAGGCACUACGGUGCUGAAGUAACAAAUGCCCUGCUUCCAGGAAAAGCCUCUAAGCAUCAGGUAACAUUAAAUCGUACCCCAAACCGACACAGGUGGUCAGGUAGAGAAUACCAAGGCGCUUGAGAGAACUCGGGUGAAGGAACUAGGCAAAAUGGUGCCGUAACUUCGGGAGAAGGCACGCUGAUAUGUAGGUGAAGCCCCUGCGGGUGGAGCUGAAAUCAGUCGAAGAUACCAGCUGGCUGCAACUGUUUAUUAAAAACACAGCACUGUGCAAACACGAAAGUGGACGUAUACGGUGUGACGCCUGCCCGGUGCCGGAAGGUUAAUUGAUGGGGUUAGCGGCAACGCGAAGCUCUUGAUCGAAGCCCCGGUAAACGGCGGCCGUAACUAUAACGGUCCUAAGGUAGCGAAAUUCCUUGUCGGGUAAGUUCCGACCUGCACGAAUGGCGUAAUGAUGGCCAGGCUGUCUCCACCCGAGACUCAGUGAAAUUGAACUCGCUGUGAAGAUGCAGUGUACCCGCGGCAAGACGGAAAGACCCCGUGAACCUUUACUAUAGCUUGACACUGAACACUGGUCCUUGAUGUGUAGGAUAGGUGGGAGGCUUUGAAGCGUGGACGCCAGUCUGCGUGGAGCCGUCCUUGAAAUACCACCCUUUAAUGGCUGGUGUUCUAACGUAGACCCGUAAUCCGGGUUGCGGACAGUGUCUGGUGGGUAGUUUGACUGGGGCGGUCUCCUCCCAAAGAGUAACGGAGGAGCACGAAGGUUAGCUAAUCCUGGUCGGACAUCAGGAGGUUAGUGCAAUGGCAUAAGCUAGCUUGACUGCGAGAGUGACGGCUCGAGCAGGUGCGAAAGCAGGUCAUAGUGAUCCGGUGGUUCUGAAUGGAAGGGCCAUCGCUCAACGGAUAAAAGGUACUCCGGGGAUAACAGGCUGAUACCGCCCAAGAGUUCAUAUCGACGGCGGUGUUUGGCACCUCGAUGUCGGCUCAUCACAUCCUGGGGCUGAAGUAGGUCCCAAGGGUAUGGCUGUUCGCCAUUUAAAGUGGUACGCGAGCUGGGUUUAGAACGUCGUGAGACAGUUCGGUCCCUAUCUGCCGUGGGCGCUGGAGAAUUGAGGGGGGCUGCUCCUAGUACGAGAGGACCGGAGUGGACGCAUCACUGGUGUUCGGGUUGUCAUGCCAAUGGCACUGCCCGGUAGCUAAAUGCGGAAAAGAUAAGUGCUGAAAGCAUCUAAGCACGAAACUUGCCCCGAGAUGAGUUCUCCCUGAGACUUUAAGUCUCCUGAAGGAACGUUAAAGACGAUGACGUUGAUAGGUCGGGUGUGUAAGCGCAGCGAUGCGUUGAGCUAACCGAUACUAAUGAACCGUGAGGCUUAACCUUACAACGCCGAAGGUGUUU